CUUCAAUACGUUAGCAAAAAUAUCAUCCAAGUCCGAGGACACCGAUUCACCCUCGAUAUUACGAGAAACUCGGCGGGAUGCCCUUACUCCCGCUGAUUUUACACUCCAAUAUAGCCCGCUAAGAGAGUCUGGAUCCAAUAUAAACUCUCUCAACCGACGAUUAAAUUCUUUGUUUUUAGUACUAACGUGGUCGUUAUCGUACGCAUGGAUAUCAGAAGCAUGAGCCGAAUCAACGAAUGGCACCGAAGAGGAGUUAUUAUUUAAUUCCGCAACCACAGAUUGCUUGAAUGGAUUUUCAUCAUAUUGCAAAGAAGCAGGAGAAGUGAUAAGAGAGGAAAAGGAACUAGAAGAGGUAGAUUCCUCUGUGUUCUUUCUUGGUAGCAAAUCCUCAUCGUGUGAAAUCGAAGAGCUCGGGAUUGCACUUGAAGCAUCUAACUCAGGUGUAGGUAUAACCAUUUCCUCAUUACACUCCAAUGGAGCCGGGGAUUCGUGUAGUAGCUCACGCAUUUCGCUUAAUUCAUCUGCUAAACUUGUAAAUCCACCCGCAAAACUUCUUCUGUUUAUUUCGUUAUUUACAUGAUGGUUACUCAAUGUUGAUAAAUCUAUUGAAGAUUGAGAAAAUGCUUUACGCUCCGCUGUUAUGUAUACAGAAGACGUUGUGCACUGUGCAUCACUUUGCGAGGAAGAAUCAACAGGUAAAGACAUCUGACGAAGAAGCGAACUUGGUGAUAAUUCAACCUUAUCUGCUUGCUUUCGGUUUUCGCUGUCUUCUUCGUCAUCCUUUUGGAAUCCUUUUGUUGGAGAGGAUGGAGUAGAUGAAGAGUAUAAUCGAGGGGAAAGAAGCUUUUCAGAUGGCAUUUCAAUCGAUACCGAAUGUCGAAUAGGGUACACUUCUAAUUGUUUUAAGGAUUGAACUGAUAAAUUAUUGGGCAUUUGACCAGAAAUUGGUUCCUUUUCUACAUCGUUUGGGGCAUCCUGAGUAACAUUAGAUGUGUCAAAAGAGUCACUCUGAGAAACUAUAAUUGAUUUUGGUGCAUUCAAUGAGA